rnacentral:rRNA from 1 species
GUCAGAGGCGAUGAAAGACGUAGUAACUUGCGAUAAGCCCAGAUUAGGUAGUAACAACCAUUUGAGUCUGGGAUUUCUGAAUGGGGAAACCCACUUACAUAAGUAAGUAUCCUUACCUGAAUACAUAGGGUAAGGAGGCGAACCGGGGGAACUGAAACAUCUAAGUACCCCGAGGAAAAGAAAUCAACCGAGAUUCCGAAAGUAGCGGCGAGCGAAA